GCGGCCGGUAGGCGGGAAUCCGGGCGGCCCGCCUUCGCGCGGCGGACGGCGCGGUCCGGCGUCGGCACGCCGUUCGGCCUCCGUGCGCCGCGC
rnacentral:tRNA from 1 species